rnacentral:rRNA from 1 species
GUCUACAGCCAUGCCACCCUGAACAAGCCUGAUCCCGUCUGAUCUUGGAAGCUCAGCAGGGUCGGGCCUGGUUAGUACUUAGAAGGGAGACCACCUAAGAAGACCAGGUGCUGUAGGAG